UUGCGCCUCUCUCUCUCUCUCUCUCUCUCCCGAAACCAGUUGAUGUUCAUAGGUGACUCUUGCACGGUCCACCUUCAUUAUUUCUCUCUCCCUUGCCGAUUAAGAAAGUCACUUCACCUCUUUAUCGUAAAGGAAAUCUUGUACAUACAGAAUCAAUCACUCUCUCCCUGUUACUUCAUUCUUCCAAAGUUCCGACCUUACAUCCCAAAGAACACGCCUAUCAAAGAAAAACACGCUUUCGUUUGAACUCCUACUUUGUUUGUUUUCUUCUAGGAAUGAAGGAUACAGAAUUG
rnacentral:misc_RNA from 1 species